UUUAUUUCCUUUUCUAGAAAGUCCAGCUGUAAAGCAAUGAGAGACACAACAGCUUAGCUCUGCAGGAAGCUGAAGAAGGAUUAUAAAUGUGAUUAAAGCCAGUGAUGACAGCUCCUCUCAAUGCCUUUCACAGCAUAUAUCCAACUUUGUUGCCACAGGGGGUGAGUGUUUGCAGUCCUAAGUCUGUGCAUGUUAUAAUUCAUGUCCAAAUCAGUGUCCCAAUAUCUUGGGGCAGGGGAAAGAUAUCAAAUAGACUUAAAAGAUCUAGAAGGUAAAAAGAUCAGCAGAAAAAAAUAGAAAUAGAAGGGGAAAAAAAAAAGGCAGAUAAUGAAAAGAGAAGUAUAAUGACAUAUUUCUGUCAUCUUGUACUAUAAGCAAAUGCUACUUGUGGGGCAGAGAAAUAAGUGAAAUUUCCACCCAUAGUAGAAAAGCCCCAACAAAGAAUUUCCCCCAGAUAACAAACUUGCAAGUAAAGAGAGUUUGGAGCUUUGUUUACCAGAUCUGGAUCUGUGGCUUUCCUGGGUAAAGCUCCAAGGGACUGAACAGCAGGAAUCACGUUGUGUGUCCAGGGGUUUCUUUGGGCACCUAUAACAGGCCCAAUUUCACCUGUAAUUGGACUUAUGGCCCUGGCACCAAUAGUGAUGGGGAUGAGGCCUGUGGAUAAGGAAAAACUAAGUGUAAUAUUUAGAAUUUUAGACCACAAAUGCCACAUUUUCCAUUCAGAGUCGAGGUAGAAACUGCUCUGUUUUGGUAGGGUGAUUUAUUGUGUCUUUGGUAUUUGUUGUUUACAUCACCCAACUCAAUUUCCUUCUCUACCUUUUCCAUUUGUAUCUUCCAUGGUUCCUGCAAGUGGGGAGGGCUGCCCAGUGUUCCAGUCACAGUCUAUUCCCAGGAUUGGCACCAUCAGACCGGAUCCACUGGGAUCUGGGAUUUCCAUUCCAAACACUGCAGGGAUCCACAUCUCUGUGCCAGGGUAUCUGAUCAUACCUGGUUUGUUCAAAAGAGACGAAAAACAUAAAACACUGAACAGGUUUGUGAUGGAAAGAACUGUGUUCCCUUCCAGAGGGCUGCAGUGCUGUUAUUCCUGCUGCAGCUUCCAGUUAAUACCUGGCUGGGGGCAUCACCAGCAAAGCUAUUUUGACCAAAAGCUUCCUGGAAGUUUGAGGUGCUGUGAUGGGAUCACAGAACGUGCUGAGCUGGAAAGGACCCACGAGGAUCAUCAAAUCCAAGCCUCAGCCCUGCACAGGAUCCCUCCCCAGGAGUGACAGUGGUUUCACUGCUGUCACCUGUGGUGUGAUGGCAUGGGAACAGGCUGCUUGCUUUGUACCCACCCAGUUUUCCCCCGUUGCUCCUGAUCCUUGCAGCCACCUCCUGCUUUUCCCCCAGGCUCUGCAGGCGGUGCAGCAUGUGGUGGCACUUGGCGGCCAAAGACUCCUCCAGCUCCUCUGCUGCAGCCUUCAGUGCUGCUAAUCUGUCUGCUGCCAGGCAGGAACCUUCCAGAAACGAUGCCUUGAAGUGCUUUAGGGCGUCCAGCACUCGGGUUUGUGCCAGCAGCCAGUCGUUCUCCAGCACAGCCUGGUACCCUCCGGCGUGGGGCACGACCCGGCCCUGCUGCAGGUGAACCCCCUGCACCCGGCACAGCUUCCCACUCAGAGGCUCAGUGAAGGGGUCUCCAAGGAGCAUCGGGUGUCCAGAAGGGCCCACCAGCCCACCAAGAGGAUGACACAGAUUAUCACCUGUGUUCAUCACGAAUUGUAAAGCAGAACUACAGGAGAGAGAGAGAGAAGGAUUAGUGUCUGGAAAAGACCUACCAGUGCUCCCAUCCAGACCAACUCCGAGGAUUGGGACGAUCUUGCCUCCCUCUGGCUCCACCAUGGGCCCCCAGAGCUCCAGAGGUGCCAACGUGCCCGUCAGGGGGUUCAGAAGGUGCCUGGGGGGAAAUGCCUGCAGCACGUGGCAGUUCCAUCCUCUCUCUGCCCUGUCUGCCUGAGCUUCGUGACACUGAGGGGAUUGAUGGUUCCUAAAUGUCCACUCAGGGAUUUGGAUUUCUUGGCCUCAAUCUGCAACAGCCACUGAAACAUCCAAGAUGAAAAAUUGAAGCUGGAAGAUGAAGUCAUUUUCCAAAAACUGUAUCAGGU